rnacentral:rRNA from 1 species
AUCAACGCUGGCGGCGUGCCUAACACAUGCAAGUCGCACGCGAAAGCCCCGCAAGGGGUAAGUAGAGUGGCAAACGGGUGAGUAACACGUGGGUGACCUGCCUUCGAGUGGGGGAUAACGUCCCGAAAGGGACGCUAAUACCGCAUGACAUCCUGCUUUUGAAAAAGCGGAGAUCAAAGCUGGGGAUCGCAAGACCUAGCGCUUGAAGAGGGGCCCGCGCCUGAUUAGCUAGUUGGUGAGGUAACGGCUCACCAAGGCGACGAUCAGUAUCCGGCCUGAGAGGGCGGACGGACACACUGGGACUGAGACACGGCCCAGACUCCUACGGGAGGCAGCAGUGGGGAAUUGUUCGCAAUGGGCGCAAGCCUGACGACGCAACGCCGCGUGGAGGACGAAGAUCUUCGGGUCGUAAACUCCUGUCGAGCGGGACGAACGCUUCGCGGAUGAAUAAUCCGCGGAAUUGACGGUACCGCUAAAGGAAGCCCCGGCUAACUCCGUG